rnacentral:rRNA from 1 species
UACGUAGGGGGCAAGCGUUGUCCGGAAUCAUUGGGCGUAAAGAGCGUGUAGGCGGCCCGGUCAGUCCGCCGUGAAAGUCCAGGGCUCAACCCUGGAAUGCCGGUGGAUACUGCCGGGCUGGAGUCCGGAAGAGGCGAGUGGAAUUCCUGGUGUAGCGGUGAAAUGCGCAGAUAUCAGGAGGAACACCAGCGGCGAAGGCGGCGCUCUGGGCCGGUACUGACACUGAGGAGCGAAAGCGUGGGUAGCAAACAGG